rnacentral:rRNA from 1 species
GAGGAGCCCGCGCACGAUUAGCUAGUUGGUAGGGUAAUGGCCUACCAAGGCUUUGAUCGUUAGCUGGUCUGAGAGGAUGGCCAGCCACACUGGAACUGAGACACGGUCCAGACUCCUACGGGAGGCAGCAGUGGGGAAUCUUGCACAAUGGGCGAAAGCCUGAUGCAGCGACGCCGCGUGGGGGAUGAAGCUUCUCGGAGUGUAAACCCCUUUCGAUCCGGACGAAUGCCUCGCAAGAGGAGUGACGGUACGGAUAUAAGAAGCCCCGGCUAACUACGUGCCAGCAGCCGCGGUAAGACGUAGGGGGCCAGCGUUGUUCGGAAUUACUGGGUGUAAAGGGUUCGUAGGCGGUGCGGCAAGUCGGGAGUGAAAUCUCUGGGCUCAACCCAGAGACUGCUUCCGAAACUGCUGUGCUUGAGUGUGGGAGAGGCGCGUGGAAUUGCAGGUGUAGCGGUGAAAUGCGUAGAUAUCUGCAGG